AUCACUCUGAACACAUAUUUUCACACGCGGUUUAAGAAGCACUCGACACAAACACAUUUUCUAGUGGACACUCCCGCUUGUUAACGAAUCCAGGCACUCCA